rnacentral:rRNA from 1 species
GGCGGGAAUAUUGGGCAAUGGACGAAAGUCUGACCCAGCGACGCCGCGUGAGGGAUGAAGUUUUUCGGAACGUAAACCUCAACGAUCGGGGACGAAACGCGCGAAGCCAAUACCUUCGCGCCUGACGGUACCCGACACGAAGCUCCGGCUAACUCCGUGCCAGCAGCCGCGGUAAUACGGGGGGAGCGAGCGUUGUUCGGAAUUACUGGGCGUAAAGGGCGUCUAGGCGGAGCGGUAAGUCAGAGGUGAAAUCUCCCGGCUCAACUGGGAGCCUGCCUUUGAAACUGUCGUUCUUGAGUGCGGAAGAGGUACGGGGAAUUCUCAGUGUAGCGGUGAAAUGCGUAGAUAUUGGGAGGAACGCCGGUGGCGAAGGCGCCGUACUGGUCUAGCACUGACGCUGAAGCGCGAAAGCGUGGGGAGCAAACAGGAUUAGAUACCCCGGUAGUCC